AACCCGGAGGCCUCGAAGCGUGGCGAGUGGGUUCGAUUCCGCUACACCU
rnacentral:tRNA from 15 species